GCAAAACGCAAAAGUCUAUGUUAUAAUAGUUGUUUGAAGACCGGAUUGCAUGAAUUUAGUCAUCACUUAUUUAUACAUAACGGGUCGCCCUUCCGGCAAAUUAUUUGUUUAGAGCCUGAAACGAGGGGCCGUAGACUCGGAAGUAGAUAAAUAGGUCAAGCGUCGUAGCUCAGACGAGAGUCAUAAGCUCACACCAAGGCUCUCGUGUGGUCAGUAUUCAUUUGAGGCUGUGUGUUACACGAGUCCAGACCGCGCGGCAAAGGCCGCGUUUGGUGCGAGGAAGAUUGGGUGUGAUUUCUUUCUUGUCUUUCUACAAAAAGGCAAAAGGUGGAUACGCGGACGAUGAACUGAGUUCAGAGGUAAAAACGACAAUGGCCGCCAAUGAUAUAUUGAUGAUCAGCCUUCCAUUUCGCCUAUGCCUCUCUGUAGGUCUAAGGGUAGGCCAAGAAGGAGCACGUCUCCCUCAGCCAAGCGAUCCACGUGAUCUCACGUAGAAUCUGAACUAAAACAGAGAGAAGUUAUAUUGACCAUGGCAAAAAAGAUGAAGAUAAGUAAAUAUAUAAGGAUGGACAGAGAAAUCAUUGAAUUUUCUCCUUUGUAUUCCACUGUUAGUGAUAAAAAACUUAUACUAUUCUUUUUUUUUUAAAUAUUUGUUUUAUUUGUUCAAGCUAUGUGUUAUUGAAUAUUACAUUUUUUGAAAGUAUGGUUACAAACUGACCCCCUAGUUCUGUAGCACUGCCAAGAAAAUAGGGGGGACCCCCUUCGUAUUUACAAAGACGAUGCUUAAAGAACGCUGCUUGGUGGAAAAAUGGUAUGAGAUUAUAUGGCUUUCAAUGUUAAUUGAGAUUUGCACCCCAGCCUCUGCUCAUGAAAAUAGGUUUUCUAGUAAUAACAUGUUUUCUAGCGAGGGAAGGUUUUUUCGACUUCUAUUAUGAUCCGAGUAUAAACCAAGAGCAUGGAUGAAGGUUGGUUAAAAAGUUUCUAUGUAUUAAAUCCCCAGAGCUAACACAGUAUUAUACUUCUGGGUUUUUUAAUUCGCACUACAACAUUAUAUAAGACACUGCAUAUUGUGCAUACAAAAGGUGCAAUGGGCUUUUGAAAUGAGAGGGGAUCUAUGAUUAUUUCACAUCACUUUUAUAUAUGGUGCUUGAUUGUUAAAAUUGUAUGAUUGGACAAAUUGUUUCCACUUUUCUGAAAAUUUUCUACCAGAAAGAAUUCAAAUCAUUAGAAUUCUGUUGGAGUAAAAUUUUUGAGGAGAAUGAUAAGCUCAUGAAAAUGAUUUGUUUUUUAGACAUAUUGCAUUAUACAUAUGCUGUAAAAACAUUUACAACAUAACAUGUGUCCACUGCAUUUCUUUGGGAUUGAACAUUUUACCAACAGGCUUGUGUAUUUUGGGGGUGGCAAAUUUCCAUCAUUUUUGGGUGUAUGACAUUUUGAGCUCUGUUUGACCAUUCCAUAAUGUUUAUAACUGAAUACUGCCCCCCCUUCCAACCCCCCCUGGGCAAUUAUCACUCUAACCUUCAAGGCAUAUAAAUCCUAAGCCCAUUCAGCCUUUCGGCUAUUAAGUCAAAGCCCAUUCAUGCUCUAGGGACAUUGUCAAAUAUUUAAAUUUAAGAGUUAUACAAAAGAUGGGCUUUGCGCCCAAAGGCUUUUCUACAAGUAUUUCAAGUUUUGAUAAGUCUAAAACCCUACCAAAAAGCAUAAAGAUACUGUUUUAUGCUCUUAUUCUCGUCUCUCUAUGGCCGCCAUGGUUUUUUUACUUAGGUCCAGCGAGUGUUAUGACGUCAUCUUACAAUUUGAUCUGUGAUUGGUUGUUUCAAUGUUUUGAUGCCUCGAAUGUCAAAACAAAAAAGUGUUUCCAGAAUAAAAGGAAAUAUUCCGAGUUGGUCCGGGAAACAGUUGUUGAAAAAUAAUAUCUUGCCUAUAUAAAAUUAAGGACCAAAAAGCCCAAAGCGUUUCAUUAGAGAAUCUGAGAAUUUUCUUUUUCUGGAAAUGGUCCAAAGGAGAUUGUUGUACGCGGCGUUUUUUUUUUUUUUUUUCAUUUUUUUUUUUUUUUUCAUCUAGGAGAUACCUCCCCUUAAUGCUUAACAAAUCUUUAAAAACAAUUCUUUAACUUUGUCGUCUUGGAUAUGGGUGCUUAAGUGACCGCUUCCUUAGUUUGAGCUCAGGCGACAUCAAAACAAACAACGAGCUCAUUUUGUCGCUAAGGGUUGAGAGAUAUAUAGAGAUUUAUAGAACAGAGCGGUCCUUAGUGAGACAACUGCAAAGAGGUUCUUAAAGUUUGCAUCGGUUUAGCGUUUAAAGGAAAAGAUGAUAUAUUUAACCAUUUAAAAAUUUUUAAAUUUUGAUAAAUCUGGAUACAAAAUAAACUCUGGUUCAUUUUGUAAAACCCUUUGGUUUUACAGCCCCCCCCCCCCCUCCUCCUGAUAAUUAUUGCACAGUACCUUACUACUUCAUCCCUGCUUUUUUUCAAGAGAGGAACGGUAUAGUGAAUCUUUCUCACUCGAGUUUGCUCAUUUGGCUGUUUAAUUUUUAUGUUGUUUUGAUACUGUUGUUGGUUGUUGAUUUCAGGGUCGUACCAGGCCUCGAAAUACAGGGGGAGGGGAACCACAGCCUCCUAAUAGGCGUUUCAGUUUAGUCUGAUUGUUUGCUGUUGUGUUAGCUAGAGAAUUCUUGGAUACGUUUAGAUGGGCGUUCGUUGGUCUGGUUUCUCUGUUGGUUUGUGUUUUGGUCGUUGGCUUAGCUUCUUGGUCUGCUGUGCUUUUUAAAUUUUUUUUGGUCUGUUGGUUUUUUUGGUUUGGUUUGUUGGAUGUUUUUUGUUGUUGUGUUGUUUGGUUGUUUGGUAGUUUGUUGAUUGUUUUUUGUGUUGUUUUUGAUUGCUUUAUCUAUUGGUUUUAAUAUUUUAUUUGCACAAUAAUUGACAAAUUUAUUAAGAGUCUAAUGGAAAAUUUUCACGGAUUUACUAAAAAAUGCAUUUGCAUUUUGUGCUAGCUAGAGAAUUCUUGGAUACGUUUAGAUGGGCGUUCGUUGGUCUGGUUUCUCUGUUGGUUUAUCUUUUUUUCGUUGGCUUAGCUUCUUGGUCUGCUGUGCUUUUUAAAUUUUGUAUUUUUUUUUGGUCUGUUGGUUUUUUUGGGCUAUUGGUUUGGUUUGUUGAAUGUUUUUUGUUGUUGUGUUGUUUGGUAGUUUGUUGAUUGUUUUUUGUGUUGUUUUUGAUUGCUUUAUCUAUUGGUUUUCAUAUUUUAUUUGCACAAUAAUUGACAAAUUUAAUAAGAGUCUAAUGGAAAAUUUUCACUGAUUUACUAAAAAAAUGCAUUUGCAUUUUUCCCACGAUCUUUAUAAUCCAGAGGUAAUAGAUGGAAUAAUCUUCCUUCUUUUGGGUUAUUUUUCCUUUAUGACUGGUACAAAAUAAGCGUUAUAACAUUAGGAAGUAAUAAUGAUAAGAAAUGCUUGCUCUGAUAUUUGUUGUUAAAUCUAAUUUUUGUGUGAAAUGGGUUAUUUCCCAAAUCUGAUGCAAAGCAUUACUCAUUUUAGGGGAAUGUUUGUGGGAAAAUGUCGAGCUUGCAGUCAUAGAAUAAUUGAAGUAUUAGAAUGAUUGAAGUGUUAUUCAAGUAUUUAAAACUAAAGAUUUUAAAGAGAGCUGAAAAUAACAAAACCCUAUUUCCCAUCAAUUAUAAAUAAUUACAUAAAUAAGGUAAUUUGAUUUGAUUUAAAAAAACACAAAUUCCGUGUUGUGACGCUUCCAUGACAACAUACAAUCGCCCUAAAAUAAUACACAGUAAUAAAAUGACCCCCUCCCAAAAAACAAUAACAAGGAUAAUUUUUUUGUAAUUAUUUGAUUUUUGCUUGCAUUCAUGUACUUUUUCUGUUGAUAGAUAUACCCUUUCCUGGCAGGCAAGGAACUUCUGUAUUUUUGGCAGUGGAAAAAUAAAGCGGUCGAAUAACCCAAAAUGCUGUUACAAUUCCCCUUUUCAAACAAACAAUAACUAUCAAUAGAAAUGUACUACAUUUUACUGGGUAAAUAAUAGACAGCAAAUUCGAAAAGACAGCGAACUCGAUUUUAGGUGCAUUCAAAGUCCUUGUUUUGGUAGUGCCAGGUUUUCAAGAAAACAAAUACUCGUGAAAUACUAAUACUGCUCAUUGUGCGAAAUACUCGUAAUUCUUAUUGUUGCGAAUACUCCACUCGCUUAUUGAAACCCAUUACAGUUUACCUGCAGUGCUAAGGGUACAACACUCGAUGUAUCGAAGAACGCCUGCGAGUUAUAUCUCACCACCCUUGCCUCAAUUGAUCUAAACAAGACCUGGGGGUUAGCGCCGUUGAUAACAGAUCAUUGGUGUAUUCCCCAAAGCCUCGUAGAUUGCAUCAUCAUCAAAAAUUAAUUCAGAAGAACUGCAGUAAAAUGACAUUUUGACAGCCGUUAUUAGCAUAGGUUAUGUAAAAACUGGAAUGGCGUGGAAUUGAUUGGAUCGUACUAUUCUACCAUAAUUGUUUGUACAUUGAUUAUGAGAGUAAUAAAAACACAGUUAUACACUCAGA